rnacentral:rRNA from 1 species
UACGAAGGGGGGCUAGCGUUGCUCGGAAUCAUUGGGCGUAAAGCGUCUGUAGGCGGCUUUGUAAGUCGGGUGUGAAAGCCCCAGGCUCAACCUGGGAAGUGCAUUCGAUACUGCUUAGCUUGAAUGUUGGAGAGGAUAGUAGAAUUCCAGGUGUAGUGGUGAAAUACGUAGAUAUUCGGAAGAACACCAGUGGCGAAGGCGGCUCACUGGACCGGUAUGACGCUGAGGUGCGAAAGCGUGGGAGCAAACAGG